GGGCGCAAGCCUGAUGCAGCGACGCCGCGUGAGGGAUGAAGGCCUUCGGGUUGUAAACCUCUUUCAGUAGGGAAGAAGCCGGCCCUUUGGGUUGGUGACGGUACCUGCAGAAGAAGCGCCGGCUAACUACGUGCCAGCAGCCGCGGUAAUACGUAGGGCGCAAGCGUUAUCCGGAAUUAUUGGGCGUAAAGAGCUCGUAGGCGGUUUGUCGCGUCUGCCGUGAAAGUCCGGGGCUUAACCCCGGAUCUGCGGUGGGUACGGGCAGACUAGAGUGCAGUAGGGGAGACUGGAAUUCCUGGUGUAGCGGUGAAAUGCGCAGAUAUCAGGAGGAACACCGAUGGCGAAGGCAGGUCUCUGGGCUGUAACUGACGCUGAGGAGCGAAAGCAUGGGGAGCGAACAGGAUUAGAUACCCUGGUAGUCCAUGCCGUAAACGUUGGGCACUAGGUGUGGGGGACAUUCCACGUUUUCCGCGCCGUAGCUAACGCAUUAAGUGCCCCGCCUGGGGAGUACGGCCGCAAGGCUAAAACUCAAAGGAAUUGACGGGGGCCCGCACAAGCGGCGGAGCAUGCGGAUUAAUUCGAUGCAACGCGAAGAACCUUACCAAGGCUUGACAUGAACCGGAAUGAUGCAGAGAUGUGUCAGCCACUUGUGGCCGGUUUACAGGUGGUGCAUGGUUGUCGUCAGCUCGUGUCGUGAGAUGUUGGGUUAAGUCCCGCAACGAGCGCAACCCUCGUUCCAUGUUGCCAGCGGGUUAUGCCGGGGACUCAUGGGAGACUGCCGGGGUCAACUCGGAGGAAGGUGGGGACGACGUCAAAUCAUCAUGCCCCUUAUGUCUUGGGCUUCACGCAUGCUACAAUGGCCGGUACAAAGGGUUGCGAUACUGUGAGGUGGAGCUAAUCCCAAAAAGCCGGUCUCAGUUCGGAUUGAGGUCUGCAACUCGACCUCAUGAAGUUGGAGUCGCUAGUAAUCGCAGAUCAGCAACGCUGCGGUGAAUACGUUCCCGGGCCUUGUACACACCGCCCGUCAAGUCACGAAAGUUGGUAACACCCGAAGCCGGUGGCCUAACCCCUUGUG
rnacentral:rRNA from 1 species